CCUUCCUGUCGUUCCUGACUCUUAGAUGGAGAAGAAUCAGUCUUAUUUUGUGUGUUCUGACUUCCUAGGUUAAUCCUGCGUGCUGGAUUCUGCUCCAGUUUGGUUCCCAGUUCCAGAGUUAUCUCACACUAAUUCAAAUUGUUCCUUGGGCGGAACCUCCUGGCUGGCAGCGUGUGGCCUCCCUUUUCCUUGGAAUCACCUGUGUUGAACCCUGCUCACCCUCCAUCGUGUUCAUCAUACAAGGCUCACUCGGAUCGAAUUCAUCUAUCUCCAGCUGAACCAGACUCCCAGGCCCCACUCAUUCCUCUCUAGCGGUUACCAUCACCUCUCAAGAUUUGAGGAACUGGCGGCCCAUGUGGAUUUACAGCUGGUUCAGAGGCGAAGAGAGAAGAAUAUCAAGUCUGAGAAAUAAUACACUACAAGGAGAGUACUGGCACCAGAUUCUUGAAAACCCCUGUUAUCUGGACAACGACCUGUGCCUGUUUGCUUCGCCUGUAUCUGCCUCUCUGCCAAGCCCUCCUGUACUUCUGCCUGUCAGAUUGUCUCUGGAUUCCUGACUGUGAACAGGACUCUGGACUUUGCCUCUGCCUACCUCUGUAUGUCUGUGUAUGACCCUGGACUGUCCGUGGAUCACUCCUUCUGCUUGAAGAUGAACAGUGGAAACGGAGAACUGUGAAAAUACCAAACAUCUCCUGGAACGCUUACUGGAUUCUCUGCUAUACUUCGG